rnacentral:lncRNA from 1 species
GCGCCCAAAAAAAGCGUCCUCCUCGCCGUUGGCUUUCUCGGGCGAGCCGCGUCUCCCUCGUCUCCCUCCCCCCGCACGCCCGCACCCAAUUUUCCUCCCCCCAAUCUCUCUCUCUCUCGCUCGUCCGCUCGAAUCCUCCACCGAUCGGAUCCCCCGCGGCUCGUCGGCGGCGAUCCUCCGGCGGCGCCGCGCCCAGGCGUCAGGUCAGGAUCGGAUCGCUUCUUGCCUGUAUCUCGCGUCGGUUUCUUUUCUUUUUAUUUAUCUUUUUUUUUCUUUUGCGUUUCUCCUGUCGAUGGGUCGCGCGUGGAAUCGUUCUAGGAGCCUUUUUUUUUUGUGUUCGAUCGCUUGUCGGGCACCAAAAAAGCGUCGGAUUUCUCCACGUCUUCUCUCCCCCCAAUUUCUGGGUUGAAUCGCCAUUGGGGCACGUCGCGCCGCUGGGUGGGUUGCUGCUGCUUGCCCUUGGAAUCUUCCCUUCGCUUCGCUUCCGGCCGUCGCCGAAUUUUGGCCCGGGUCGUACGGCGUCGCCACCGCCUUUUCCUUUCCCCCACCUCUGCGCCAUUUUUGUUUCCUUGCGUUCUAAUCGUACUACAGUACUAGUAGCAGCAGCAGCAGUAGCGUACAAAAUUUCCUCUAUUUUUUUUAAUUUUUCCUCUGCCAAUCUCGCGCAUUUUGCCCCCAGCAGCAACGAGGCCCCGCCAUUUGCCGGCUAGCCGUUGGGAUCGCUGCAACGGCCACAUUUUAUUUUUAUUUUUUACCGCGGUUUUUUUACCCGCUCCUCCGAUCCCCAUUUGCAUUAGUUUAUCAUCAUCAUCAGCAGCAGCAGUGUCCUUCUCCUGCUGCUGCUGCUGCUGCUGCUUAACCAAACAGUAGCAGGAGCGUACUUUAAUAAUGAGUAGUAGUAGUAGUGCUGCUGCUACUAAUCAUCGUAAUUAAUCCAGUGGUUAACCUUCGUCUCCGGGCACAUUUAAUCCUCUCUUCUGUGGUAGGAGGCAGCUUUGGCUUGGCUUGGCUUCGCCAUUACUGGGCGUGGAGUUCUCGUGAGGUGGAGACCCAAGCCUCACCCGAAAGAGACGCUCCAAUUCCUAGGCGUAAAUAUUACUGCCAGCCUCGCUGCAGCAGCAGCCCGAAAAAAGAAUUCCCCAAUUCCGCCUCCUCCUCCUCCUCCACUCCACAUUUGUUUUUCUUUUAAUUUUUUUCUUUCUGGCUCUGUCUGUCGCUUUCUCCUUCGCCAACCGACUCAAUCCCUUCGAUCUGGUUCGUGCUCUGCGGCGACUCUGAGCUCGGGGAUUUGAUUUGUGUUUUUUUGUUGGAUGAUUUGUGGGCUGACGAUUUUGUUUGCAUUGGCAG